rnacentral:pre_miRNA from 1 species
UCUCAUGGAUAAGCAAAGAAAGUGGUUUCUUAAGAUGGAAUCUACACCUGUUGAAGCUGCUGUGAG